rnacentral:piRNA from 1 species
UCUUCUUGUACACCAAGAUCGAAUGCCACUU